UUACUGAGUUUACGCUCUAUAACCCUUUGUGAACAUACCUAUAACUGUUGCUUCGGCGGGUAGGGUCUCCGCGACCCUCCCGGCCUCCCGCCUCCGGGCGGGUCGGCGCCCGCCGGAGGAUAACCAAACUCUGAUUUAACGACGUUUCUUCUGAGUGGUACAAGCAAAUAAUCAAAACUUUUAACAACGGAUCUCUUGGUUCUGGCAUCGAUGAAGAACGCAGCGAAAUGCGAUAAGUAAUGUGAAUUGCAGAAUUCAGUGAAUCAUCGAAUCUUUGAACGCACAUUGCGCCCGCCAGCAUUCUGGCGGGCAUGCCUGUUCGAGCGUCAUUUCAACCCUCAAGCUCUGCUUGGUGUUGGGGCCCUACAGCUGAUGUAGGCCCUCAAAGGUAGUGGCGGACCCUCCCGGAGCCUCCUUUGCGUAGUAACUUUACGUCUCGCACUGGGAUCCGGAGGGACUCUUGCCGUAAAACCCCCCAAUUUUCCAAAGGUUGACCUCGG
rnacentral:rRNA from 1 species